UGGAUAUAGCUCAACGGUAGAGCAACGGAUUCAUAAUCCGUAGGUUGCGGGUUCGACUCCCGUUAUCACAGCCA
rnacentral:tRNA from 1 species